AAAGGAGACAUGAUUUGAAAAAGUUAUAAAUGAUAUUAAUAUUAAUAUAUGGAAACUCAUAAAUUAUAUAUAUAUAAUAUAUAUAUAAGACUUAUGUUAUAGAAAGGAUAAAUUAGUUUGGCAUAAGCCGAUCCUAACUAGAAAUAGUAAAUAAAAAAGUAUGUGAAUUGAAACAUCUUAGUAACAUAUGUAAAAACCAAUAGGGAUAACAGUAGUAUCGGUGAGAGAAUCUGUUGUUGUAUACAAGUAAUACUUAGAAGUAUGAAUAAAGUAGUAUCUACUACUAAUACAUAAACUAUAACAUAAAGUUAAAAGUACUGUAAAGGAAAGAGUUAAAAAAUCAAAUUAUAUAAUAAAAAUAUAUAUAAGAGAUAAAAAGAAAUAUAUUAAUAAAGAGCAACUAUAGUAUAGUGUACCUCUUGUAUAAUGGGUCAGUGAGUUAUUUUUAUAAGCGAAAUAAGAAUUAUAUAUAAUAAGAUAAAGUUUAUAGGAAUAGACCCGAAAGCACAUGAUCUAUAUAUGUAUAGAUAUAUAUUUAAAAUAAAUAUAUGAUCAAAUAGGUAGAUGUAGCAAUAUCUUCUAAAGAUAUGUGUAUAGUAGUGAAAGGCAAAACUGAUGUGCAGAUAGCUGGUUAUCUACGAAAUAUAUGUUAGUAUAGCCCUUAUAAUAGCGUAAACCCUGGUAAAGCACUUAAUACCAUAUGGGAAUAAAUUUAUUUACUAUAUGUAUUAAACCUCUGAACAGGAGUGAUAUGACAUAUAAGGAGUCAGACUUAUUGCGAUAAGGUAAUAAGUCGAAAAGGGAAUAACCUAGACUAUUAAAUGAAGGUCCCAAAUCCUCAUUAAGUGAAUACAAUCCUAUGAGUAGAUAAAUACCUCAAUAUAUUCCAUAAAGGAAUAAUUUUGAUCAGACAAUUAGUCAGUGGGUUUGAUAAUAAUCACCUGUUAAAGAACAUGUAAAAAUGCACUAAUAGAAUUUAUAUCAAAAAAAGAUAUAUAAAUCAAAAGAUAGGAACAAAUAUACGGGUCUAAAUGUAGGAACCGAAUAAUAGAUAUAAUAAAAAAUAUUAUAUAGUAGUAGAUUAUAUAGUGAUAAUAACUAUAAAGACAAUGCUGACUUGAGUAACGAUAGGUAAUUAAGGAUUACCCCUACAAAACACAAGGUUUAACUAUAAAUUAACGGUAUCUAAGUAUAUAUAUGAAGAUAUAUAUAUGAUGAUAGAUAGUACAGGAAAAUGUAGUAACCGUACCGCAGUCCGACCCAGGUGUGUAAAUGAUAAAAAAUAAUCAUAAUAUAAAUCUUAUAACUAAUAAGAAAGAUAUUGAGUAGGAAUGGGUGAAGUAUCAUAAAUGAACUCGGCAAAUAAGGCAAGGCCUGAAUAGUACGACUGUUUACCAAAAACACAGCUUACUGCAAAUAGGAAACUAUCGGUAUAGUAAGUGAUAUCUGUCCGGUGUAAGUUAGAUAAAUAAAUAAUUGACUUAUAAACGACGGUCUUAUCAUGAGGAUCUGAAAGUAGCAAAAUUCAUUGGCAUAUAAUUGGUGUCCCGCAUGAAUGAUUAUACGAUACUAUAGCUGUAUCUAUGGUAUACCCAGUGAAAUAGUAAUCGCAGUGAAGAUACUGUGUAGUCAUAGAUUGACAAAAAGACCCUAUGCAGCUUUACUAUAUUCUUAUACUGUUAUAUAUAUAUAUAUUUAAAUUAAAUAUUUUUAUUUAUAUGUUUAUUUCUUUAUAUAUAUAACUAACCUUUAUUAAGGUACCAUAUAAGAUGGUUAGUUUCGAUGGGGCGUCGGCAUCACAAAACAUAACUGAUGUGUCUAAAUGAUAUUUUAUAUUCCCUUAUAUUUUAUUACUUUUUAGUUUUAUUUAUAAGGCCAUCAUCUUUUUAAGAUAAUAAUAGAAUAAAUAAGUACAGAUACACUAGUUGGCAACUAGUAUUAAUUAAUAUAAUAUUAUUUAUUAUAUUAUUCCUCAUUUUUGAUGUGGAAUCAUAUAUGUAAUACAUAUAUAAUUAAUUUUAUUUAUAAGGAUAAUAACAUAACUGUGCUAUGAUAAUGACACAUACUUGUGGAAUUAGUACUUAAGUAUAGUAUAUUGAACAGGCAAUAUCAUUAGAAUUGAGUGUCGAUUACGGAUUAAAGUUACGCUAGGGAUAACAGGGUAAUAUCGCUAGAGAGUUGAUAUCGUCAGCGAUGUUUGCCACCUCGAUGUCGUCUAGACUUAUCCUAUUGGUCGUAGAAGCUAAUAAGGGUACGACUGUUCGUCGUUUAAAAAGUUACUUGAGAUGGGUUAAUUACGACGUGAGUCAGUAAUGAUUUUAUCAUCUAUGACGUUAAUAGUAAUAUGUAAUUAUAUGUGUACGAAAGGAUUAUAUAAUAUAGUUCAAUGGUGAAGAGCUUUUGAUUCUUAGCUAAAACUAUAAAGGAUAAAUAUUGAUAGCUUAUUAAAUAUUAAGCCUUACAUAUUCACUAUAUAAACAUUAAAGAUAAUAAUGUAAUAGUAAUAUAUCUAUGCUUUAUUCUUAUAUAAGAAUAUAGAGGAUAUAAUAAACUAAUAAAUAUAAUCAUUUAUAAUAACAAAUCAUGUCAAAUUAUUUAUAUAUAUUUAUACUAUAUAUUAUUUAUAUUUAAUUAUAUAUAUUAUACAUAUAUUUUUAUAUAAAAAUAUAAAAGUUAGUUA
rnacentral:rRNA from 1 species